rnacentral:misc_RNA from 1 species
AGUCUAAGUGGUUCACCAGUAGCUAAUCUCCAAAUACAGACUGCAACUCUUUGCUUGACAGGAAUGGCGUUUCGCAAAGUGGUAUCCUCUUUGGCAAUAAAUGAAUGUAGCUCAUCGCAUAUCAUGUCAAAAGUACCCUUGCUCAUUCUAAACGCUUGCUUGAACUCCUCCUCAGGAUAAUCUGGCCGAUUGCAUUCAUCCCACCACUCUUUGUCUCUGUCUUUCACCCAUAAUCGUCUAUGUUGACCACCACUCCCUUGCUUUGCAUCACCAAUUCCCUUACUAGCGAGCCCAUUAGAGGCAGCAGAAACAGCGACCGCACCAGCUAUUGCCCUGGACUUUUUGCGCUUCAUUCGGUCAGUUUCUUCAAUUUCUGUGUAGUAAUCUUGAAUAUUGGAAUAAUAUUCGACCAUUGUUCUAGUCUUUUUCUUAUGAUUUGCUUCGAGUAAUUGCUUGUCCUCACAUGAGGCCUUGUUUCGCUCUUCUUGAUCGCACUUUUCUUGCUCUUCCAGCAACAUCCAUGAUGUGAUUAUACCCUUCAACUCUUUUCUCUUCUUGUUGCUAAUGCUAGUAUUGUUGCCUUCUUCAAAAAAAUUGGUGUCCUCCCCAUCGCUUUCUUGCCUAUCUUUCCUUUGCCUCUUCCUGGUGGUGUUGGAUUCAUUCAUUUGGUUGAGUGAAUAGGGAAGCAAGGUAUAAGAAAAAGAGUAAAUUGUUCUGAGUUAGGUAGAGAGGAAGAGAGAUUCAUAUAAGAAGAAGAGAGAGGGAAGAAGAAA